rnacentral:misc_RNA from 1 species
GGUUGCUUGGUUCGAUGUCUAUAAUUACUGUUGUUUAUUGUUUGAUGGCCUUGGCGUUGGCAAUGAUGGUUAAAUAUACUCAAGUGGAUGUUAAUGCAGCUUAUUCAGUUGCAUUUGAAGGUAUAGGUAUGAAUUGGGCAAAGUAUUUGGUGGGGAUUUGUGCACUUAAGGGAAUGACUACGAGUAUGCUUGUUGGGUCAUUGGGACAAUCUCGAUACACAACUCAGAUUGCAAGAGCACAUAUGAUUCCCCCGUGGUUUGCUUUGGUUCACCCGAAAACUGGAACGCCG